GACAGAGGGGGCAAGCGUUGCUCGGAAUUACUGGGCGUAAAGGGUGUGUAGGCGGUUGUUUAAGUUUGGUGUGAAAUCUCCCGGCUCAACUGGGAGGGUGCGCCGAAUACUGAAUGACUUCGAGUGCGGGAGAGGAAAGUGGAAUUCCUGGUGUAGCGGUGAAAUGCGUAGAUAUCAGGAGGAACACCGGUGGUGUAGACGGCUUUCUGGACCGUAACUGACGCUGAGACACGAAAGCGUGGGUAGCAAACAGG
rnacentral:rRNA from 1 species